AUCAAUCGACUGUUGAUUACCUCUUUUCCCUGUUGCCUAUAUUAUGUUUGGCCAUACUUGGUUUCACUUGGGUUGAUCUAUUCCAUGUGGUUAUUACCUGCUGUCCCAUAUAGGUCGAACAUCUUUUUCAUAAACAGUACAUUGUUGAAGUGAUUCAUUUUGAAGUCAUUGAUGUGAAAUGGUAUCUCAGAAUCUUGUAUCUUGAAUAAGAACUUGAAGGCAACUUUGCCAAGGUGAUUAGUUGCUUGUUGAUUUCCUCUUUUCCCUGUUGCCUAUAUUCUCUUUUCGCCACACAUGGUUUCAUUUUGGAAGGCAACUUUGCCGAGGUGAUUAAUUGAUUCUUGAUUACCUCUUUUCCCUGUUGCCUAUAUUAUGUUUGGCCAUACUUGGUUUCACUUGGGUUGAUCUAUUCCAUGUGGUUAUUGCCUGCUGUCCCAUAUAGGCCGAACAUCUUUUUCAUAAACAGUACAUUGUUGAAGUGAUUCAUUUUGAAGUCAUUGAUGUGAAAUGGUAUCUCAGAAUCUUGUAUCUUGAAUAAGAACUUGAAGGCAACUUUGCCAAGGUGAUUAGUUGCUUGUUGAUUUCCUCUUUUCCCUGUUGCCUAUAUUCUCUUUUCGCCACACAUGAUUUCAUUUUGGAAGGCAACUUUGCCGAGGUGAUUAAUUGAUUCUUGAUUACCUCUUUUCCCUGUUGCCUAUAUUAUGUUUGGCCAUACUUGGUUUCACUUGGGUUGAUCUAUUCCAUGUGGUUAUUACCUGCUGUCCCAUAUAGGCCGAACACCUUUUUCAUAAACAGUACAUUGUUGAAGUGAUUCAUUUUGAAGUCAUUGAUGUGAAAUGGUAUCUCAGAAUUUUGUAUCUUGAAUAAGAACUUGAAGGCAACUUUGCCAAGGUGAUUAGUUGCUUGUUGAUUUCCUCUUUUCCCUGUUGCCUAUAUUCUCUUUUCGCCACACAUGGUUUCAUUUUGGAAGGCAACUUUGCCGAGGUGAUUAAUUGAUUCUUGAUUACCUCUUUUCCCUGUUGCCUAUAUUAUGUUUGGCCAUGCUUGGGUUCAUUGGGGUUGAUCUAUUCCCUGUGGUUAUUACCUGCUGUCCCAUAUAAGCCGAACAUCUUUUUCAAAAACAGUACGUUGUUGAAGUGAUUCAAUUUGAAGUCAUCAGUGUGAAAUAGUGUCUUUGAAUCUUGUAUCUUGCAUGACAACUUGAAGGCAACUUUGCCGAGGUGAUUAGUUUCUUGUUGAUUUCCUCUUUUCCCUGUUGCCUAUAUUCUCUUUUGGCCAUACAUGGUUUCAUUUUGGUCAAUCUAUCUCCUUGGUUGUUACCUUCAACUUUUAUAGGCCAAACAUAUUUUUUGUUAUUCAGAGAUGGCUGAAUGAGGUUGUUGGAGCCUUGCUCCACAUUAAUUUGGAAAUGCCACUACAUAAAGCUUUUUUCAUGGUGCUUGUUCCUUUCUUAAAAAUAUUUUACCAUUUAAGUCUAUUCUAAAUUAAUGAGUUGCUUUCCUGAUUUGAGGCAGUUUUAUGCCUGCUUUAGGUUAUUCUUUGAAUUUUGCAAGUUCAUGUAACUUUGGUUUGAGAUUGUUUGUUUGGUAUCAUGAUCUCUACAUGAUGAUAGCUGUUAUUGGCUAUGGAUUUCAUCCAAUGAGGCCUUUUGUAGUCAUAGUUACACUGAUAGAGUUUCAUGUCUGUUUCUUUCCUUCUUUCUGUUGGCUUCCUCCCUCUUCUCUUUCUUCCUCCUUUUGGAAAAAAAUUCUACUUCCAACUGCAUGUGAAUUUGUGGUGUCUGGUAAGAGCACUGAUAUGAUACUGUCCUUGUUGAUUUCUUUAUAUUUCCCGAGUUUUUGAAUUUCAUUAUGAAGUUUUUUUAUUUGGUGAACAUGAUCUAUAUGUGAUGAAAAAUGGCAUGGGCUAUGGAUUAAUCUCCAAUGAAGCCUUAAGAAGUCAUAGUUACACUGAUAGAGGAUCAUUUAUUUUUUAUUUUUAUCAAGUUCUUGUUUUUCUAUGCGUAUGGAUUCUUCGAGUUCUGUGGGUUUAGAUUCAGUAAUGCAAUGAUGGACAAUUAAUCGGCCCUGAAUUGUGGUAUGUAGUAUGUACUUAUCUCCCUUGCAUAUAGAAGUGAUUGAAUUUCCAAAAAGAUUUAAUGUUGAGUGAAGUCGGUAUUCCCAUGGACUUUGGGCCCCACCCAAAAAAAAAAAUACAUAAAAAUAAGAAAUAGUGCUCUAAAAGAUGAUACUUCUCAGAGGAUACAGAGCAAUAUCCAGGUGAGGGUUUUAUGAUACACUGACAACAUGAAUUUGGAGCAAGGUGCAUAAAUAAUUACUGGAAACAGAUUGUUCUUUUCAGUCUUGUUGUACUCUCCACACUGAAUGCUGUACAAUAUCUGCAUAUUCCUCGUUGCCUAAACCUUCACAUAUAUCUCUUAGUUAGGAGCUUAUCCUACUUGUAUGUUUCAUGAAUGGUGAUUAAAUCAACUUUCCAAUGAACUGCAUAAAUCAUGAUUUUGUUACGUAGUAUGUCAUAAUCAAUAUUUUCCAUGUUCUGGUUGAAUUGGAUAAAAAAAAACCAUUAUUCAGUUGUUA
rnacentral:lncRNA from 1 species